UGUUAUCGACAUGUGAAUUCAUAGCAUGUCAGAAGGCAGACCCGGAGAACUGAAACAUCUUAGUACCCGGAGGAAGAGAAAGAAAAAUCGAUUCCCUGAGUAGCGGCGAGCGAAACGGGAAAAGCCCAAACCAACAAGCUUGCUUGUUGGGGUUGUAGGACACUCUAUACGGAGUUACAAAAGAACAUGUUAGACGAAUCAUCUGGAAAGAUGAAUCAAAGAAGGUAAUAAUCCUGUAGUCGA
rnacentral:rRNA from 1 species